rnacentral:rRNA from 1 species
GUGAGCGGCAAGAGCUCAGAUUUGAAAUCGUGUUUCGGCACGAGUUGUAGAGUGUAGGCGGGAGUCUCUGUGGAGCGCGGUGUCCAAGUCCCUUGGAACAGGGUGCCUGAGAGGGUGAGAGCCCCGUAGGGUGCUGCGCGAAGCUUUUGAGGCCCUGCUGACGAGUCGAGUUGUUUGGGAAUGCAGCUCCAAGCGGGUGGUAAAUUCCAUCUAAGGCUAAAUAUUGGCGAGAGACCGAUAGCGAACAAGUACUGUGAAGGAAAGAUGAAAAGCACUUUGAAAAGAGAGUGAAACAGCACGUGAAAUUGUUGAAAGGGAAGGGUAUUGGGCUCGACAUGGGGGGUGCGCACCGCUGUCUCUUGUAGGCGGCGCUCUGGGCGCCCUCUGGGCCAGCAUCGGUUCCUGCUGCGGGAGAAGGGGCUCCGGAAAGUGGCUCUUCGGAGUGUUAUAGCCGGGGCCAGAUGCCGCGUGUGGGGACCGAGGACUGCGGCUUCUGUCUCGGAUGCUGGCAUAACGGCGCAAUACCGCCCGUC